CAUUUAAAAUACACACACAUCCACACACAUCCACACACAUUUAUAUAAACGCACAAACACACAUACACAUACAGAAGGUCUCCCCCUUCUUAUUCUUGGCCUCUGUUUUCCCAUUUCUUUGUAGCCUACGUUACUAAUUCGCCAAGAGAUAUCUCAGCUGCGAUACUCGAAGAAACCAGUUCAGGUUUCAAGACCGGCUUCCGAUUCAGCAACAGUCUCAAGGAAUGGUGCUGGGAGGCGGGGCCUAUUCGACGACAACAACAACAUUCAUCACAACUCCACAAUGGUCCGAGCAGGGGAUGGGUUCGAUCAGUGCAACCACAACCCUAGUGAGAGUUUCCAGCUAAUGUUCAGUUCUCCGUUCAACAUACCAGCUGUCGAUUUUACAUAAUUUCGGGCCAAGGGAUAGCCUGGCAAAGCAGGAUAUUGCAAUGUGGUACUAAAGGUAGUCUUGAUACAUUCUUUUAAAAAAAAUUCACCUGUGUUUACUUAUUACGUCUUGUGUUGUCUUUUUUGUUUAUGAUGUUAGAGUUUGUAGAUGUUGUGUAAUAAUCAAAGUGGGGAUUGUGGUAUUGUAUUGUCA